rnacentral:rRNA from 1 species
UACAGAGGUCUCAAGCGUUGUUCGGAUUCAUUGGGCGUAAAGGGUGCGUAGGUGGCGCGCUAAGUCGGGUGUGAAAUGCCGGGGCUCAACCUCGGCACUGCAUUCGAUACUGGCGUGCUUGAGGACUGGAGAGGAGACUGGAAUUCAUGGUGUAGCAGUGAAAUGCGUAGAUAUCAUGAGGAAGACCAGUGGCGAAGGCGGGUCUCUGGACAGUUCCUGACACUGAGGCACGAAGGCCAGGGGAGCAAACGGG